CCAGACAGCCAGGAUGUUGGCUUAGAAGCAGCCAUCAUUUAAAGAAAGCGUAAUAGCUCACUGGUCGAGUCGGCCUGCGCGGAAGAUGUAACGGGGCUAAACCAUGCACCGAAGCUGCGGCAGCGACGCUGAUGCGUUGUUGGGUAGGGGAGCGUUCUGUAAGCCUGCGAAGGUGACCUGUGAGGGUUGCUGGAGGUAUCAGAAGUGCGAAUGCUGACAUAAGUAACGAUAAAGCGGGUGAAAAGCCCGCUCGCCGGAAGACCAAGGGUUCCUGUCCAACGUUAAUCGGGGCAGGGUGAGUCG
rnacentral:rRNA from 1 species